CCUACGGGAGGCAGCAGUAGGGAAUCUUCCACAAUGGGCGAAAGCCUGAUGGAGCAACGCCGCGUGGGUGAAGAAGGUCUUCGGAUCGUAAAACCCUGUUGUUAGAGAAGAAAGUGCGGGAGAGUAACUGUCCACGUUUCGAUGGCAUCUAACCAGAAAGCCACGGCUAACUACGUGCCAGCAGCCGCGGUAAUACGUAGGUGGCAAGCGUUAUCCGGAUUUAUUGGGCGUAAAGGGAACGCACGCGGGCUGUUAAGUCUGAUGUGAAAGCCUUCGGCUUAACCGGAGUAGUGCAUUGGAAACUGGGGGACUUGAGUGCAGAAAGGGAGGCUGGAACUCCAUGUGUAGCGGUGAAAUGCGUAGAUAUAUGGAAGAACACCAGUGGCGAAAGCGACUCUCUGGUCUGUAACUGACGCUGAGGUUCGAAAGCGUGGGUAGCAAACAGGAUUAGAUACCCGAGUAGUC
rnacentral:rRNA from 1 species